AUUGAACGCUGGCGGCAUGCCUUACACAUGCAAGUCGAACGGCAGCACGGGUGCUUGCACCUGGUGGCGAGUGGCGAACGGGUGAGUAAUAUAUCGGAACGUACCUUAUUGUGGGGGAUAACGCAGCGAAAGCUGUGCUAAUACCGCAUAAUCCCUAAGGGGGAAAGCGGGGGACCGUAAGGCCUCGCGCAAUUAGAGCGGCCGAUACCUGAUUAGCUAGUUGGUGAGGUAAAGGCUCGCCAAGGCAACGAUCAGUAGCUGGACUGAGGGGACGAUCAGCCACACUGGGACUGAGACACGGCCCAGACUCCUACGGGAGGCAGCAGUGGGGAAUUUUGGACAAUGGGGGCAACCCUGAUCCAGCAAUGCCGCGUGAGUGAAGAAGGCCUUCGGGUUGUAAAGCUCUUUUGUCAGGGAAGAAACAGCAGCUCUAACACAGUUUGCGAAUGACGGUACCUGAAGAAUAAGCACCGGCUAACUACGUGCCAGCCGCCGCAGUAA
rnacentral:rRNA from 1 species